ensembl:lncRNA
CUCUUUUUGAUACUUCAUAACUCUGAAAUGAGGCUACCUUCUUGUAAUAGGAAACUAUGAAGGAUAAAGUAGAAUACAUAUUCUACUACAGUGAAACAACAGUGAACUUAGGGAGCACAGAUGGACAAGACCAGGGGUAACGAGAGAGGGAUAAGCUGCUGAUAAUGGCCGGGAAAUGGUCUUUUGUGUGGACUUAUCUCGAGGAAGAUGGCCAUCUCAGGAGGUACGCACAUGACUCUUGCUCAAGCACCCAGGGAUGUCACGUAGGCAGGAAAAAAGGAGGACAAAAGAGAGUCCAACAACCAUGAGGAUAGGUUUCUGCCAUCAGAUCCCUCACCACGACGGACUCGAGGUUUCUGCCUUCAGAUCCCUCACUACGGACCGUAUGCUGACGGACUUCCCUGGUCCUGCUACCUGAGGCCUGCUGCUUCCUCCGGGCUUACUCUGAGGCUUCUUCCUGGACCCACCCGGUACCUGCACCCUCUCAUUGCCCAAGACCAGCCUCGCUGCUCCUGCCCUUCGGCCUCAGACCAUCGGAACGGCAUGCAACGGGACUACUGCCAGAUCCUGGUGGUGACUAUCCCCGCUUUACGCAAUUCUUGCUUCUUUCUAUCUUUUCAAUCACUCACCUUCCCUUCCCCAUCACUCCAAUCCGUAAUAGUGUCCGUCCUCCCUUUCUUCAUCUCCCUUAUUAACAUUUGUAAUAAACUGGUUGGAC